CUCCUCUCAGCACACUCGCCGGCACAGACCAGCAGGCCAGGAGAACAUUCCUGCCGUCUCCCCACCCCCAGCCGCCCUUCCUACUUCCGGAACAGCCCCAGACAGAUUCAACAAGGCCUCCCCAAAGGACAUCACCCUCCUGCAUGGCAGAGGCAUGGCCGUGCUCUGUCAGAGAAGCAGGGAAGAAGAAGAGGGUGUUUCCCUGGGGACCUCUCACUGCCCCUCUGCCAUCCCCCUUCUUCUGUGUGGUGCCCACCUUACUCAAGGAGUUGCAGUGGUAUUGAAAGAGAUGCGGAAAGGUGGAAGGCACUUUUGUCACCAUCCCCGGGCAGCUCCUGGUGGUCAGUGUCUAUUCUCCUCUGCCUCUGUGCUGUGGCCCUGGGCUUCGCUCCCUACCCUGGGUGCCAACAUGAACUAGCUCUUCCUGGAUUUAAGACAUGACCACUCUUUAAAGGGGAUAUUUAUAUCUCAGUGCCUGGCAUGAGGCUUGGUAAUUAUAUGAUGAAUUAAGGAAUGAUAAUUGUAAAAUAAAAUAGUAGAGGACACAUAUUAAAUACUUAGAGUGAACAUUCAAGCCUCUGUGCUUUAUGAAGAUUAUUUCAUUUAUUGGUAUUAUCACAACAAAAAAGCUGUGAGGUAGGUACUAUUAAUAUUCCUAAUGCUAUAGAGAAAGAAAUGGAUGCUCAGAGAGGUUAAGACACUUCUCUAAAGCCUCACAGCUAGUUAGUUCAUGGCAGAGCCUGGAUCAUCUAAUCUCACAUCCUGUUUUCUUAAUCACGGUGCUGAGUGGCUGGAGUGAAUGAAGGAAUAUUGACCAAGGGCAACCUGGCCAGGAGAAAAGAGACAAAGAUGGGACUUGAAACCACAUCCUACAAGGAAACAAUGAAACAAUUAGGAAUGUUCUGGCAACAUGGGCCUCAUGCCUUCUUACUGCGUCAACACCAGGUCUGAGGUUUGGCAAGUGGGUGGCUUACUCAGCGUAGCCAGGAGGGCGAAUCAGUCAUCAGGUUCAAGUGGGGAUGAGAAACUAGGGAGGUCGGAUGGACGCAAGCCUGUGGCAUGUGGUAGAUGCAAAAUCCGAGAGCCACGGGGUACAGAGUACCUCGGCGGGAGCCAGAGUCCACGCUUGUCUUUGUUGCCUUCUGGCCUCAUGGAUGUAGGUGGGAGGGUCAGUCCAUCUGGGGUGGACAAGAAGGCUACAGGAAGAAGGACAUGACGGCACUCUCAAAGAUUCCAGACUCAGAAAGAGUUGGAACUGUGGUGUGGUUUUAGAGUGCAGGAGGAGUGAGAAGGGAUUGGGAACAGAUCUGGACCUGACAAUGAAAAUGCCUCUGGGCACCUCCCUGCUCUGUUUCCCCAAAGACUCAGUGGCCUUGCUUGCUUCAUAUACACAGAUAUUUAACUCUAUGUGGCAACUGGACAUAAAGCAUUCUGAGGAAAAGCAAAUUAAAACUCCCAGAAAUCAAACAGAAAGUAAAAUCUUUAAGAAAAGGACCAAAAUUAACAAAAAAUACAGAAUUUAAAACUUUGGUCACAAUGAAGAGAUGGCGAUAUGACAGAACUCUUAGGUUAACAAUGUAAACCUUCACUUUCAAUUUCUCAUACUUUUUGUCUCCAGCUGAACAAAAUAAAAGCUCAGGAGGAAGCGCA
rnacentral:lncRNA from 1 species